rnacentral:rRNA from 1 species
UACAGAGGGGGCAAGCGUUGUUCGGAAUUACUGGGCGUAAAGGGCGCGUAGGCGGCCUGUUAAGUCGAACGUGAAAUCCCCCGGGCUCAACCCGGGAACUGCGUCCGAUACUGGCAGGCUUGAAUCCGGGAGAGGGAUGCGGAAUUCCAGGUGUAGCGGUGAAAUGCGUAGAUAUCUGGAGGAACACCGGUGGCGAAGGCGGCAUCCUGGACCGGCAUUGACGCUGAGGCGCGAAAGCGUGGGGGAGCGAACCGG